UGGGGAAUUUUGGACAAUGGGGGAAACCCUGAUCCAGCCAUCCCGCGUGUGCGAUGAAGGCCUUCGGGUUGUAAAGCACUUUUGGCAGGAAAGAAACGUCGCGGGUUAAUACCCCGCGAAACUGACGGUACCUGCAGAAUAAGCACCGGCUAACUACGUGCCAGCAGCCGCGGUAAUACGUAGGGUGCAAGCGUUAAUCGGAAUUACUGGGCGUAAAGCGUGCGCAGGCGGUUCGGAAAGAAAGAUGUGAAAUCCCAGAGCUUAACUUUGGAACUGCAUUUUUAACUACCGGGCUGGAGUGUGUCAGAGGGAGGUGGAAUUCCGCGUGUAGCAGUGAAAUGCGUAGAUAUGCGGAGGAACACCGAUGGCGAAGGCAGCCUCCUGGGAUAACACUGACGCUCAUGCACGAAAGCGUGGGGAGCAAACAGGAUUAGAUACCCUGGUAGUCCACGCCCUAAACGAUGUCAACUAGCUGUUGGGGCCUUCGGGCCUUGGUAGCGCAGCUAACGCGUGAAGUUGACCGCCUGGGGAGUACGGUCGCAAGAUUAAAACUCAAAUGAAUUGACGGGGUCAUAGCUG
rnacentral:rRNA from 1 species